AAUGGAGGAAACUCUGACGCAGCAACGCCGCGUGGGUGAUGAAGGCUUUCGGGUCGUAAAGCCCUGUCAGCAGGGAAGAACGUCUCAGUUGCUAAUAUCGACUGAGAGUGACGGUACCUGCGGAGGAAGCACCGGCUAACUCCGUGCCAGCAGCCGCGGUAAAACGGAGGGUGCAAGCGUUGUUCGGAAUUACUGGGCGUAAAGCGCGUGCAGGUGGUUUAUUAAGUUUUAUGUGAAAUCCCUUGGCUCAACCAAGGAACUGCAUGAAAUACUGAUGAACUUGAAUUCGGGAGAAGAGGGCGGAAUUCCCAGUGUAGAGGUGAAAUUCGUAGAUAUUGGGAGGAACACCUGAGGCGAAAGCGGCUCUCUAGACCGACAUUGACGCUCAUACGCGACAGCAUGGGGAUCAAA
rnacentral:rRNA from 1 species